rnacentral:rRNA from 1 species
UUACCAGCGUUUGACAUGUCCGGACGACUUCGAGAGAUCGAUUUCUUCCCUUCGGGGACUGGAACACAGGUGCUGCAUGGCUGUCGUCAGCUCGUGUCGUGAGAUGUUGGGUUAAGUCCCGCAACGAGCGCAACCCUCGAUCUUAGUUACCAUCAUUUAGUUGGGGACUCUAAGAUAACCGCCGGUGAUAAGCCGGAGGAAGGUGGGGAUGACGUCAAGUCCUCAUGGCCCUUACGCGCUGGGCUACACACGUGCUACAAUGGCAGGUACAGUGGGCAGCAAUCCCGCGAGGGUGAGCUAAUCUCCAAAACCUGUCUCAGUUCGGAUUGUUCUCUGCAACUCGAGAGCAUGAAGGCGGAAUCGCUAGUAAUCGCGGAUCAGCAUGCCGCGGUGAAUACGUUCCCAGGCCUUGUACACACCGCCCGUCACACCAUGGGAGUUGGAUUCACCCG